UUUCUCUCUUUCCCUCCUCAG
rnacentral:miRNA from 1 species